rnacentral:rRNA from 1 species
AACCUGCCCAAGAGAUCGGGAUAACACCUGGAAACAGAUGCUAAUACCGGAUAACAACAGAUGAUGCCUAUCAACUGUUUAAAAGAUGGUUCUGCUAUCACUCUUGGAUGGACCUGAGGUGCAUUAGCUAGUUGGUAGGGUAACGGCCUACCAAGGCGAUGAUGCAUAGCCGAGUUGAGAGACUGAUCGGCCACAUUGGGACUGAGACACGGCCCAAACUCCUACGGGAGGCAGCAGUU